ACGAAUUUGAAAAGAAAACAAACAGAUUGUAAGCUAAAACAGAUUUUGGACGAAUUUGGAUAAACUAUGGAUGAUGGGCUAGCUAGAGGGUUCUUCUCCACACAUGACACACUUGCACAUAAACCAAUUUUCAAUUAUUCUUUCGAUGAAUCAUGAAACUCCCUUAUAUUCUAGCAUUAUAUUCAUGCAUGCAACUAAGUGUGCACUCUUAAUAAACAUACACGAAUAAGUUAACAAUCAAGCAACUAAACAAAUUGAAUUCACAACUUAUGAAAUCA
rnacentral:lncRNA from 1 species